GCGCGGUUAGCUCAGUGGUAGAGCACUUCGUUUACACCGAAGGGGUCGUAGGUUCAAUCCCUACACCGCGCA
rnacentral:tRNA from 1 species